rnacentral:rRNA from 1 species
UACGUAGGGUGCGAGCGUUGUCCGGAAUUAUUGGGCGUAAAGGGCUCGUAGGCGGUUUGUCGCGUCUGCUGUGAAAACCUAAGGCUCAACCUUGGGCUUGCAGUGGGUACGGGCAGACUAGAGUGCGGUAGGGGUGACUGGAAUUCCUGGUGUAGCGGUGGAAUGCGCAGAUAUCAGGAGGAACACCGAUGGCGAAGGCAGGUCACUGGGCCGCAACUGACGCUGGGGAGCGAAAGCAUGGGGAGCGAACAGG